rnacentral:tRNA from 5 species
GCGAACGUAGCUCAAUGGUAGAGCCUCAGUCUUCCAAACUGAUUACGCGGGUUCGAUUCCCGUCGUUCGCUCCA